rnacentral:rRNA from 1 species
GACGAACGCUGGCGGCGUGCUUAACACAUGCAAGUCGAACGGAAAGGCCCUGCUUUUGUGGGGUGCUCGAGUGGCGAACGGGUGAGUAACACGUGAGUAACCUGCCCUUGACUUUGGGAUAACUUCAGGAAACUGGGGCUAAUACCGGAUAGGAGCUCCUGCUGCAUGGUGGGGGUUGGAAAGUUUCGGCGGUUGGGGAUGGACUCGCGGCUUAUCAGCUUGUUGGUGGGGUAGUGGCUUACCAAGGCUUUGACGGGUAGCCGGCCUGAGAGGGUGACCGGCCACAUUGGGACUGCGAUACGGCCCAGAAGCGUACGGGAGGCAGCAGUGGGGAAUAUGGCACAGUGGGCGGAAGCCUGAUGCAGCAACGCCGCGUGCGGGAUGACGGCCUGCGGGUUGUAAACCGCUUUCGCCUGUGACGAAGCGUGAGUGACGGUAAUGGGUAAAGAAGCACCGGCUAACUACGUG